GCUGGUUGUAGCUCAGUGGUAGAGCUCUUGCCUAGGAUGCAUGCAGGAGGCUCUAGGUUCAAACCUAUCACUGCA
rnacentral:tRNA from 1 species